ensembl:lncRNA
UUUGCCCAUUUUUUAAUUGGAUUCUGUGCUUUAUAAUUAGAGUUAUUUUUUUCUGUAGCUCUGUUUUUGCUGUUAUUUCUUUUGUGCAUCAAGCUGGUUCUUACUGUGCUGUUAGAUGAAUGCUACUUGAAGGCAUGCUUGCCUUCCUUGGUAAACCCAUCUGCUGGUAAACCCAUCCGCCUCCCAGAGUGAUGUUUGCUUCUGAGUUGUCCUGAAUGUGUGCUUUGCUACCUUGUUAUGUAUCCAGGCCAAUUUGUUCUUAAAAUAUCCAAGAGCAAGAACCAAGACCUUAGAAGAUGAUGGUUUGCGUAACAUAGUUCACAGCGUUUAUGUCCAUGUCUGAAUCUGGUUUUAAGUUUCAGAAAUUCCUUGUUUUCCUUUGCAUUAAUUCCUAAAUUUUACUCUUUGCGUCAUGAUUUAGUAGCAUGUUUUUAAAUAAAAUGUUGUCUCUGAUGUCUAUUUAGUUUUACCUGCUGUCUGCAAAAAGUUGUUCGAACUUCAUCUUGCUGACCUGCUAAAAGCAGUAAAUCUAUGGCAAUAAGUGACAAGUGUAGGCUGAUCCGUAUACAAGACCAGGAAUUGCCUGUUCGAUAUUUGCAAUGAUAAGUAAAGUGGCAGGACAUCAAUACUAGUGAAAUUUCUGAAUCAUUCACUACACUGUAGAUAAUGCAGAGCUUCCCAGCCCAGUUUGUAACAAAUGGGCUACUGGUGUGUUAGCCUUUGGACGUCCUUGACCCCUGAUGCCCCAGAGCCCCUGGAAGGGGGCUGACUGUUGAUGCUGGUAUGCUGCUGCCCAAGUGUUACUUUUCUCUGUAAGUUGUGCCACUAGAGAGAGUGAGGGAGACAGAGGACAAGGCCCUAGCACACCGUGGCUUAAUAUAGAGUGGACUAAACAGUGAUUGAGAAUUCACAAGUAUCUAGUUCAUUGUCAGCUCUCUGAGAGCAGAGAUUUUUGUCUGCUUAAAUUAGCUCACGGUUCUCUCCUCACACCUGAAACAGUGUUUGGUACAUAGUAAGUGCUUAGUCACUAUUUAUCGAUUUAAUUCAUGAAACAUACCUGAAUAAUAAAUUCAUUGACCAUGUCACAACCCUCUCUGUUCCUCAGUUUCUAGAGAUAGAAGUGUAAUUUAUUUCCAUAUAACAGAUGGUAAUGUGUAGGUCAAUAAUAGGGCUCUUUUUUCACCCCCAACAAACAACUUUUUGUUUGUUUAGAAAAGCUUUAUUCAUAAUCGCCAAAAAUCAGAAGUCACCCCAGAUAAUCCUUCAAUGUGGUGAAUUAACAGACAUCAGACUAUCAUACAUCCACACAAUAGAGUAUUACCCAGAACGAAAAGAAACUAUUGAUACAUGCAGGAUAAAAGAAUUCAAAUGCAUUAUGCCAUCAAAGAAGCCAGUCUCAAGAAGUUACAUACAUACUGUAUAAUUCCAUUUACAUGACAUUCUGGAAGUGGCAAAAAGACCUGUAAGAAUGAAGAAAAGAUUGGUGAUUGCCAUGGAUAGGAGUGGAGCAAAGGUUUAACUACAGGGCUGUGUGAGGGAGAUCUUGGGGGCACUGGACCUGGUCUGUAUCCUGAUGGUGAAGGUGUUUAUAUAAAUCUACACAGGUGUUAAAACUCGUAGAACUGUACACCAAAAAGCCAAUUUACUGUAAAUACACUUUUUCGAGAAGAAUACAUUGGGGGAAAAUGACACUAUGUCACCUCUUUGCCUCAACCCUUAUCACCAACUCCCGUUUCCCUGGGGCUGCAACUGAAUUAAUUUCAGAUUUUCAAUUUUAUGGAUUUCCACUAAAACACAAAUUAAUGGAGAAAUAAGUAUUUUAUUAGGAUGGCAUUCACUAAAUUAAAUGGUUAAAAAAAUAUAACACUAAUUUUUCUGUGUAUUCCAUGUGCUAGGUGGAGUCUCAACAAAACCAACAGCUUUGUAUUGAAGUUUAGUGGACUUACCAUGUUGUGCUGGUUUCAGGUGCACAGCAAAGCGGUUCAUUUAUAUACAUAUUCAGUGAUAUAUUCAGUAAAAAAUAUAUAUAUAUUUUUCAGAUCCAGUCAUAUAUGAAAAAUAUAUUCACACAACACAUACAUACUCGUUUGCAGAUUCUUUUCCAUUAUAGGUUAUUACAAGGUACUGAAUAGCGUUCCCUGUGCUAUACAGUAGGUCCUUGUUUAACUUUUUUAUAUAUAACAGCGUGUAUCUUUUAAUCCCAAACUCCUAAUUUAUCCCUCCCCCACUUUCCUUUUUGGUAACCAUAAGUUUGUUUCCUAUGUCUGUGAGUCUGUUUCUAUUUUGUGAAGUUCAUUUGUGUCAUUUUUUUUUUUUUUUGGCUUCCACAUGUAAGUGGUAUCAUAAGAUCCUGGUCUCUGACUAUACUGUCUAGCCACUUAAUAUGAUCAUCUCUAGGUCCAUCCAUGUUGCUGCAAAUGGCAUUAUUUCAUUCUUUUCAGGGCUGAGUAAUAUUCCAUUGCAUACAUAGACCACGUCAUUAUUCAUCUGUCGAUGGACAUUGGGUUCUUCCACGUCUUGGCUGUCGUAAAUGGAUAAGUAGGGAUCCAUUGGUUCUUCCUUAUGCUCUCUCUUUUGAAUUAUUUUUAAGUACAGGUGAUGGUAGUGACGAUAAUGAUGAUGACUGUGAUGAUAAAACGCUAUUUAAUUUGCAUGCAGUUGAUAAAAUAGACUGCCUUGAACUGAUACAAUCCUCAGAGCAACUCUUAGGCGUGUAUUUCUUUCUAUUCCCAUUUUAAUAAAAAAUGAAACUAGUGCUCAGAAAAAUUAAAUGCGUGUGUAAGAUUACAAUACAAAUGGUAUGUAGCAUAACCAGAACUUGAGCCCAGGCAUUUCAACUUUUUACUUCAAAUCCCUAGGACUUUGCAUUAUACAGUUUAGUCUAGAUUCACUUUAAAGACUUAGACCUCUUUCAAUUAGGCUCUUAUUUGAUGCAAAUGAUGGUAGUAAAGUCAAUUGAAGAAUGCUUAAAUGAGAUCAAAGUUCCCAAACCUUUUUUGAAAAAUGUAACCAGCUAAUGGUAGGCUUCAGCCAAAUGCCAAUGAGAACCUUGCAAUGCAAAAUCUUGAGGCUCUGAAUUAGUAGUGGAGUUUUAACGUGAAUUAAUUGUUGAGAACAUUUUCCAAAGAUAAAAUGACAAAAGCACAAACCUACAUGCUAUGCCAACUUGAUGAGGUGAAAUGGGAUGAGAAUAGAUGAUAUACUCUGAGAACAAGAAAAUGGAAAGAGGCAGGUUUACAUGGAUCCUUUAAAUACAUUGACUGCCAUCCUUUUAACGGGAAGAAGUAGCUUUGAAAAUCUCACACCAGAGAGAGGGGGAAAAAAACUUGCCAAACUCUCUUCUUUUUUUAACUCUAUUGUUUGAAUGUUCAGUCAUUUGGUCUAUUCUGGUUUUGAUUCACAAAUGAGUUUUCAGAAACUACCUUCCUCCUUUUUUUUUUUUAAUGAAAUAUUUAACUUUUCCUCUGAAGACUGACACCCCGUCUCUGGGACCUGAGAGGGAUCCCCCUGAAGCAUUCUGUUUUUGUCAGCUGAGUUUACUUGUAUACUGUCUACAAAAUCUGGAAUGGUUUUCUCCUAAGGUACAAUUCAUUGGCUGUUAUGGACGUCACAUUUUCAUCCCUGUAUUUAUGAAUUCUCCAAAUAUUUUUCGAAUGCCAGUUGCACAGGCCCUGUCCCGGGCGAAGGAAAUAGAAUCUUUGUCCUGAAAAAGCUCCCAAUUUUGACUCUGGUUCUCGCUCCACCAGACCUCUUGUUUCUCUUCCACUGAAUUCCAAGCUUUCUGUCUGUGGAUACAAGUGAAUGCUGCUUUUUACAGAAUUCUCCUCCUGUAGCCCGCAUCCCAUCUUGCUCAUUUACCUACGUUACAGAAAAAAGGCAAAGGGAUCAGUGAGUCACUUGAUUGGCUUCCCGGGUAGAGGAUGAUGCUGAGAGGGCCCUUGGCAUGGCCACGCCCCGUGCGUGCUAGAGCUUUCUAUACAUUGAGGGGGAAACGUAUCUUUGGCACCUUAGGAAAUAAAGAAAGGAAGACUAAAGACAGAACACAGGGGGGAUGACAACCUCUUAACCUUUUAAAACAGCUGUGUUUCAGUUCAGUUUGUUCCCCUUUGCUUUGAGAGGGGGGUGGGGGAAAGAGAGGUAACUCUAAUUACAAAGGCCACGUUCCUUUCAGCUAUACUAUUUUCAAUCCUAUAUAAUUUGUACAGCUGAAGUGGUAAAGUGCUUGCUUUGAAAUGUGGAGAGAAGGGCCCCCCCCCCUUUAAUGCUUAGGAAAGGUUUAACAAAAGGACUUUGAUUUAAACAAAAGGAAAAUUCUCCAGGGCCUCAUGAUUGGUAUCCUCAAGAAGGAGUUUGCUUCCCCGCAGUGGUGGCCCUUGGAGGAAUCUGCUCCUCUUCCCCUCCCCCUGUCCCCUGGUUGGUGUUUUUCCUCCUCUGGGAUCCAGUGUGUUCACAGACCACCACUGAAGUGGGGUGCAAAUAGGCUAGGAUGAAAGGCAUGACUGGGUUCCUGAAAGGGCCCCUCCAGGUGGCUCAGGAACAGGAUGGGCUGCAUCCCCUGCCUGGCAAGUCCAUUCCCAAGACGGAACUUGAUCCCCUGGAGCUGGAGCAGCCUGGCCAGCAUUNNNNNNNNNNNNNNNNGGGCAGAAGCUAGUUAUUGAACGCUGAGUCUGAGGCCAGGCGACAGGGACAUGUCAUUUCAAAUACGAUGCAAAGGCGUCUUGACACACUUUGAGGUGGGUCUCGCUCUGUCCAUGCUGCAGGGAAGAGAGGCUAGACAAAGCGGAAGUGAGUCAGCUCAAAGUUACCCUGCUAAUAAUAAACAUGCUGGUUUUGACCCUAAGUCGGUCUGAGUAAUAAAACCCAUGUCCUGUUCACCACGGCACAUUCCUUCCCGUGAAUCAGAAAGCAGUUUCUGGGGAAGGUGGUGGCAGAGGCCACAUGAUCGUGGGCAGUUGGAAGUCCUUCUGUCCUCCUCCUCCUGUUCUUGAGGAACCUGUUUGCAUGUGCGAACACACCGCGUCAGUGAUGGCUCCAGCCCUUUGCCUGUGUAAGUCCAGAUGCGAAAAAGAUUAACUGGACCAUGGAGACAAUACUUAAAUCCAAAGGUUUGCUAUCGUCGUGGGAGGAAAGUUGCACAAGAACCCUGUUUUGUUUUGUUUUUUUGCUUUUGCUUUUUGUCCCUGUGUUGAGGCACUAUAGCGCUGCUGCAAUAAUCACCCACAGGUUCAGGUAUCAUCCAUUGCCUUUAUUUUGUGAUUUACAAUUAUUUGUAGUAUCAGCUCUUUUCCUUUUUUCCUCCCUUUCUUUUUCUUUCUUUCUCUGUCUUUCUUUUCUUCUUUCCUUUUUUCUUUUUUUUGCAGUUGCGUCCCAAACGCUUAUUUCAUGGCACUGACUUGAUAUUUUCCAUGGUACCAUUCAUGACAUGCAGUGAUGAGUCAUUUUUAGAAAAACAGGUAUAGAGUGUAAUAUGAAAAUAAACAGGUCAGCAAACAUGAUUCUCUUCCUCACUUUUCAAAUUCUACCAUCCCCCCUCCCCCCAGGGUCCUGUCCCCCUUAUUGUUAUUUCUUUAGUUAGCAGCCCCUUUCUCAAGCACAAUCUUAUAUGGAACCUCAAUAUAUAUGACUGAUAAAGGAAGAUUUCGGUAGUAUGAUGUUUGUUAGAUUUCAGUGUGUAAUGCUGACUUAUAAAACCAAGACUAAAGAACAAUGAGGCUUUGUGAUGAACACAGAAAUUUGAAAUCGGUGUUACAGAUGACAGCUGCAGGCUUUUCUAACUUCAUUUUCCAGUUUAUUCCCUUUUGUUGAUUUUUUUACAAUAUUGUUGCACAGUAUUGAGAAAAUCUUGGUUCCCUAAAAUAUAGACUUGCAAGUAAUAAAAGGGUAUUGU